ACUCCUACGGGAGGCAGCAGUGGGGAAUAUUGCACAAUGGGCGCAAGCCUGAUGCAGCCAUGCCGCGUGUGUGAAGAAGGCCUCGGUUGUAAAGCACUUCAGUUGUGAGGAAGGUGGUGUCGUUAAUAGCGGCAUCAUUUGACGUUAGCAACAGAAGAAGCACCGGCUAACUCCGUGCCAGCAGCCGCGGUAAUACGGAGGGUGCGAGCGUUAAUCGGAAUUACUGGGGCGUAAAGCGCAUGCAGGUGGUUUGUUAAGUCAGAUGUGAAAGCCCGGGGGCUCAACCUCGGAACUGCAUUUGAAACUGGCAGACUAGAGUACUGUAGAGGGGGUAGAAUUUCAGGUGUAGCGGUGAAAUGCGUAGAGAUCUGAAGGAAUACCGGUGGCGAAGGCGGCCCCCUGGACAGAUACUGACACUCAGAUGCG
rnacentral:rRNA from 1 species